UGGGGAAUAUUGGACAAUGGGCGCAAGCCUGAUCCAGCCAUACCGCGUGGGUGAAGAAGGCCUUCGGGUUGUAAAGCCCUUUUGUUGGGAAAGAAAAGCAGUCGAUUAAUACUCGGUUGUUCUGACGGUACCCAAAGAAUAAGCACCGGCUAACUUCGUGCCAGCAGCCGCGGUAAUACGAAGGGUGCAAGCGUUACUCGGAAUUACUGGGCGUAAAGCGUGCGUAGGUGGUUGUUUAAGUCUGUUGUGAAAGCCCUGGGCUCAACCUGGGAAUUGCAGUGGAUACUGGGCGACUAGAGUGUGGUAGAGGGUAGUGGAAUUCCCGGUGUAGCAGUGAAAUGCGUAGAGAUCGGGAAGAACAUCCAUGGCGAAGGCAGCUACCUGGACCAACACUGACACUGAGGCACGAAAGCGUGGGGGGCAAACA
rnacentral:rRNA from 1 species